ACCCGCCCGGGGCGCUUGGCGCAUCCGGGUGAAAGACAGACACCGUGCCUGGGGAAGAAAUGGGCACAUCAGGGCGUU
rnacentral:sRNA from 1 species